CCCUCUGGUGGGGAAUAACCCUGGGAAACCGGGGCUAAUACCGCAUAAGCCCCUCAAGGGGAAAGCAGCAAUGCGCCGGAGGAGGAGUCCGCGGCCGAUUAGCUCGUUGGUAGGGUAAUGGCCUACCAAGGCUUCGAUCGGUAGCCGGCCUGAGAGGGCACACGGCCACACUGGCACUGAAACACGGGCCAGACUCCUACGGGAGGCAGCAGUGGGGAAUCUUGCACAAUGGGGGAAACCCUGAUGCAGCGACGCCGCGUGAGCGAUGAAGCCCUUCGGGGUGUAAGGCUCUUUCGGCAGGAACGAAUCUUGACGGUACCUGCAAAAGAAGCUGCGGCUAACUACGUGCCAGCAGCCGCGGUAAUACGUAGGCAGCAAGCGUUGUUCGGAGUUACUGGGCGUAAAGAGUGUGUAGGCGGUUCGGUUAGUUCGGUGUGAAAUCUCCCGGCUCAACUGGGAGGGUGCGCCGGAUACUGCCGGGCUUGAGUGCGGGAGAGGAGAGCGGAAUUCCUGGUGUAGCGGUGAAAUGCGUAGAUAUCAGGAGGAACACCGGCGGUGUAGACGGCUCUCUGGACCGUGACUGACGCUGAGACACGAAAGCGUGGGGAGCAAACAGGAUUAGAUACCCUGGUAGUCCACGCCCUAAACGAUGCGCACUUGGUGUGAGCCAUUCAGUUGGUUCGUGCCGGAGCUAACGCGUUAAGU
rnacentral:rRNA from 1 species